rnacentral:lncRNA from 1 species
CAGCUUCCGAGAGCAUCAAGCGCAACUCAAGAGGGUAUAGAGAUGCCUGCUGGGGAUGGGGGAUGAUAUAACGGAGCCUGUGGUUUGGAAAGUAUCAGGGCUUCGACCUGGUUGGCUUGCUAGGAAUGAUAGGCCUUGUACUCCACAAGGCAUCGGGAGGGAAGGUGCCAGACAUGUUAGGAGGGGCUGCCUUGGCAGUAUCUUCUCUUUCCAAGUCUUAUGGUUGGCCAGCUUUCAACACAAUCAUCUUCCUAAACACAGGACAAAGGGGACAUGGCAUUGCUUUGUUUGGCUGGGAUCUAUCCAGGGGCUCAGGUCUUCGAACAGAAAAAAGAAACCAUGCCAAAGCAUUCCUGAGUGGCACAUGCUAUAAUCUGAGUCUUUAUGGCUGCAAAGAGACUUGAAAGGGUGGCAGCCAUCGCUGGUGAAAUCCGUGAAGCCCAAGGAAGAUGCAGUGAGAGGUAUGUGAUCAAGAAAGGAAGCUUUGUCGCAUAAUUCCAUGCUCUUCCCUUAUGUCUUCAAGCUGGAUUUAAAAUCCCUCGGUCUAGGUUUCCUUCCAGAUUUGCAGUUCUAAGAUUAUUAGUGAGCGGAACACCGAUCACUGUGGGUUUUUCUCUAGGAAGGGACAAUUACCACCUAGUUUUCCAAGCAACACUAAGCAAGUUCAGCUUAUGUCUACUCUGCCUUCACUUGCUCAAAAUAUGUAGGAAAAAGGUGCUGGGCACCUUUAAAACCCAAUUAAAAACAUGGCUGUUUAUUCAGGCCUUCCCUCCAGCCAACUCUUGAUUUUUUCUUACUUUUCCUUUUUAUUUUUACUGCUGUUCUUGUUUGAUUAUUAUGUAUUUGUCUAUAGAAAGAAAGAAAGAAAGAAAGAAAGAAAGAAAGAAAGAAAGAAAGAAAGAAAGAAAGAAAGAAAGAAAGAAAGAAAGAAAAAAAGAAAAAAAGAAAAAAAGAAAAAGGAACAGUCUGGCACAUGAAGUGAGAAUGCCUGGUUGUCAAAAGUGUAUAAUGCAAUUCCAGGUUCCAAAUGAAGAAUAGUUAUUUAGAUUAAAACUGGGGGGGGGGGGAGAGAGAAAUUGGAUUGGUAGCAUCAAAAGAAAUGAAACUCUCUUUUUAUAAGAUGUUCUGUGUAACUCCUUUGAUUCCUUUUUUAAUCACAUGUUAACACACUCUGUAAUUUCUGUCAU